UACGUAGGGUGCAAGCGUUGUCCGGAAUUAUUGGGCGUAAAGAGCUCGUAGGCGGUUCGUCGCGUCGGCUGUGAAAACCUGAGGCUCAACCUCAGGCCUGCAGUCGAUACGGGCGGACUUGAGUACUGCAGGGGAGACUGGAAUUCCUGGUGUAGCGGUGAAAUGCGCAGAUAUCAGGAGGAACACCGGUGGCGAAGGCGGGUCACUGGGCAGUAACUGACGCUGAGGAGCGAAAGCGUGGGGAGCGAACAGG
rnacentral:rRNA from 1 species